GUGGGUAUAUGGUGCUCCAAGAAGCAACAGAAAGACUCUGAAGAUGAAACUCUCGUGGCUCAUAAUCUGGGCUGGAAUGCUGCUUUGGAAUCAAGUCACUGCUGACUGCAACAUUACUUCUCAAACUAAAAUGAAAACAACACUGUGUGUACAUUCCCAAACAUAAAGCAAAAAUUCUCUAUCAAGACUGCAACUAUUCAACUAGUUGACUGCGAAAUUGAAAAACU